rnacentral:lncRNA from 10 species
ACUACAAGGAAGGCUUGUCAAGGGCUUCAAUGAAUAGUAAAACAACUUUCUUUCUCUAAGUAACUUUGCUAUCUUUAAAAAUCAGCUUUAAUCUGUAUCACUGUUCAAACAUGGGUCACCUGGCCAACAUGAGGAAACCCUGUCUCUAUUAAAAAUACAAAAAAAAAUUAGCCAUGCAUGGUGACACAUGGCUGUAAUCCCAGCUACUCGGGAGGCUGAGGUGGAAGGAUCACUUGAACUCGGGAGGCAGAGGUUGCAGUGAGCCAAGAUCAUGCCACUGCACUCCAGCCUGGUUAGAGAAUGGUGAAACAAGCUUAUAAAACUUACCAAAAGUGAGUUUUCUUUAGUAAAAACAGAGAAGCCUGAAUUUUCUAUAAUGAGUCUGGCAACUAAUUU